rnacentral:rRNA from 1 species
AGUUGACCUCGAAUCAGGUAGGAAUACCCGCUGAACUUAAGCAUAUCAAUAAGCGGAGGAAAAGAAACCAACAGGGAUUGCCCCAGUAACGGCGAGUGAAGCGGCAACAGCUCAAAUUUGAAAUCUGGCCCCCAGGGCCCGAGUUGUAAUUUGUAGAGGAUGCUUCUGGCAAGGUGCCUUCCGAGUUCCCUGGAACGGGACGCCACAGAGGGUGAGAGCCCCGUCUGGUUGGACGCCGAGCCUCUAUGAAGCUCCUUCGACGAGUCGAGUAGUUUGGGAAUGCUGCUCUAAAUGGGAGGUAUAUGUCUUCUAAAGCUAAAUACCGGCCAGAGACCGAUAGCGCACAAGUAGAGUGAUCGAAAGAUGAAAAGCACUUUGAAAAGAGGGUUAAACAGUACGUGAAAUUGUUGAAAGGGAAGCGCUCAUGACCAGACUUGGGCCCGGCGAAUCAUCCUGCGUUCUCGCCGGUGCACUUCUACGGGCCCAGGCCAGCAUCAGUUUGCCCCGGGGGAUAAAGGCUUCGGGAAUGUGGCUCCUCCGGGAGUGUUAUAGCCCGUUGCAUAAUACCCUGGGGCGGACUGAGGUUCGCGCAUCUGCUAGGAUGCUGGCGUAAUGGUUAUCAGCGACCCGUCUUGAAACACGGACCAAGGAGUCGUCUUCGUAUGCGAGUGUUCGGGUGUAAAACCCCUACGCGGAAUGAAAGUGAACGUAGGUGAGAGCUUCGGCGCAUCAUCGACCGAUCCUGAUGUUCUCGGAUGGAUUUGAGUAAGAGCAUACGGGGCCGGACCCGAAAGAAGGUGAACUAUGCCUGUAUAGGGUGAAGCCAGAGGAAACUCUGGUGGAGGCUCGCAGCGGUUCUGACGUGCAAAUCGAUCGUCAAAUAUGGGCAUGGGGGCGAAAGACUAUCGAA